rnacentral:rRNA from 1 species
AUUAUUGGACAAUGCGGGCAACCGUGAUCCAGCAAUGCCGCGUGAGUGAUGAAGGCCUUAGGGUAGCAAAGCUCUUUUACCAGGGAUGAUAAUGCCAGUCCCUGGAGAAUAAGCUCCGGCUAAUUCCUUGCCACCAGCCGCGGUAAUACGGAGGGAGCAAGCGUUGUUGGGAAUUUUUGGCGGUAAAGCUCGCCUAGGCGUCUAUCCAAUUCAGGGGUGAAAUCCGGAGGCUCAACCCCGGAACUCCCCUGGAAAUUAGGAACCUAAAAUACUGAAGAGGUGAGGGGAAUUCCGAUUGUAGAGGUGAAAUUGGUAGAUUUUCGGAAGACCUCCAGUGGCGAAGGCGUCUCACUGGCCAGUCAUUGUCGUUAAGGUCGCAAAUCAUGGGAAGCAAACAGGAUAAGAUUCCUUGGUAGUCCACGCCGUAAUCAUUGAUAAUAAACGAUGCCUGCAACUACUAACUUCCUGUGUCGCAGAUAACGCAUUAAGUUAUCAGCCU